rnacentral:rRNA from 1 species
AGUGAACGCUGGCGGUAGGCCUAACACAUGCAAGUCGAACGGCAGCACAGUAAGAGCUUGCUCUUACGGGUGGCGAGUGGCGGACGGGUGAGGAAUACAUCGGAAUCUACUUUUUCGUGGGGGAUAACGUAGGGAAACUUACGCUAAUACCGCAUACGACCUACGGGUGAAAGCAGGGGAUCUUCGGACCUUGCGCGAUUGAAUGAGCCGAUGUCGGAUUAGCUAGUUGGCGGGGUAAAGGCCCACCAAGGCGACGAUCCGUAGCUGGUCUGAGAGGAUGAUCAGCCACACGGGAACUGAGACACGGUCCAGACUCCUACGGUAGGCAGCAGUGGGGAAUAUUAGACAAUGGGCGCAAGCCUGGUCCAGCCAUACCGCGUGGGUGAAGAAGGCCUUCGGGUUGUAAAGCCCUUUUGUUGGGAAAGAAAAGCAGCAGGUUAAUACCCCGCUGUUCUGACGGUACCCAAAGAAUAAGCACCGGCUAACUUCGUG